rnacentral:rRNA from 1 species
GACGAACACUGGCGGCGUGCUUAACACAUGCAAGUCGAACGGAAAGGCCCUGCUUUUGUGGGGUGCUCGAGUGGCGAACGGGUGAGUAACACGUGAGUAACCUGCCCUUGACUUUGGGAUAACUUCAGGAAACUGGGGCUAAUACCGGAUAGGAGCUCCUGCUGCAUGGUGGGGGUUGGAAAGUUUCGGCGGUUGGGGAUGGACUCGCGGCUUAUCAGCUUGUUGGUGGGGUAGUGGCUUACCAAGGCUUUGACGGGUAGCCGGCCUGAGAGGGUGACCGGCCAAAUUGGGAGGGAGAUACGGCCAAGACCCCGACGGGGGCAGGGAGGGGGGAAUUUGGAAAAAGGGGGGGAGGCCGUAUGCAGAACCGCCGCGUGGGGGAGAACGGCCUUCGGUUGUAAACCCGUUUCCGCGGGUGACGAAGGGGGGGUGAGGGUAGGGGGUAAAGAAGCCCCGGCAACCUCCGUC